UACGAAGGGGCUAGCGUUGCUCGGAAUCACUGGGCGUAAAGCGCACGUAGGCGGCUUUUUAAGUCAGGGUGAAAUCCUGGAGCUCAACUCCAGAACUGCCUUUGAUACUGAGAGCUUGAGUCCGGGAGAGGUGAGUGGAACUGCGAGUGUAGAGGUGAAAUUUGUAGAUAUUCGCAAGAACACCAGUGGCGAAGGCGGCUCACUGGCCCGGUACUGACGCUGAGGUGCGAAAGCGUGGGAGCAACAGG
rnacentral:rRNA from 1 species